GAUGAACGCUGGCGGCGUGCCUAAUACAUGCGAGUCGAGCGAACAGACGAGGAGCUUGCUCCUUCGACGUUAGCGGCGGACGGGAGAGUAACACGUAGGUAACCUACCUAUAAGACUGGGAUAACUUCGGGAAACCGGAGCUAAUACCGGAUAAUAUUUCGAACCGCAUGGUUCGAUAGUGAAAGAUGGCUUUGCUAUCACUUAUAGAUGGACCUGCGCCGUAUUAGCUAGUUGGUAAGGUAACGGCUUACCAAGGCAACGAUACGUAGCCGACCUGAGAGGGUGAUCGGCCACACUGGAACUGAGACACGGUCCAGACUCCUACGGGAGGCAGCAGUAGGGAAUCUUCCGCAAUGGGCGAAAGCCUGACGGAGCAACGCCGCGUGAGUGAUGAAGGUCUUCGGAUCGUAAAACUCUGUUAUUAGGGAAGAACAAACGUGUAAGUAACUGUGCACGUCUUGACGGUACCUAAUCAGAAAGCCACGGCUAACUACGUG
rnacentral:rRNA from 1 species